AUUGAACGCUGGCGGCGUGCUUAACACAUGCAAGUCGUGCGGUAACAGGCGUAGCAAUACGUGCUGACGAGCGGCGAACGGGUGCGUAAUACAUGGGAAUCUGCCUUUUAGUGGGGAAUAACCCGGCGAAAGCCGGGCUAAUGCCGCAUAAGAUCUUCGGAUGAAAGCGGGGGAUCGUAAGACCUCGCGCUGAUAGAUGAGCCCAUGUCGGAUUAGCUAGUUGGUGAGGUAACGGCUCACCAAGGCGACGAUCCGUAGCUGGUCUGAGAGGAUGGCCAGCCACACUGGGACUGAGACACGGCCCAGACACCUACGGGUGGCUG
rnacentral:rRNA from 1 species